AUUGCUGUUUCUUUCUUGCCCUAGAUAUUAUCAUCUUUUCUUCCAUCUCCUAUCUUUUAUUCUUCUUAAUUUUAUCUCAGAUUAUUGCUAGUAGCUUAAGAACAAGUAAUGGAAUUGAGGGUUUCAUGCUCGAUCAAUCUUCUAUUCUCUGUUUUAUUUGCACUAGUUUGUUACCGUUUUUAACAAUUUUCUGGAACCAUAGGGACCGGCUGCGUAGUUAUUGCCAUUACCAAUUAUGUGUUAAAAUUAUGGUUCAAGGCAGAAGUAUUUAGUGUUAGAGAUGUGUGACUCAAAUUUCGUUAUUUGUUAAAGAAAUAAAAUAGAGAGGCUGAUGCAGGUCUCAAGGCACAAUUUCAGACCCAUGGAUGUGAUGGAUUACCAAAGUUCAACAUUCCACCAUAGGUAAAAUAGGACCAUGCCGCACAAGUUGAAUCCGUACAGGAGUAUACUUUUUCUAUUAGGCAUUGAUUAUAAUAGGGUUGUUUAAUAAGUGUAAUCAAACUUCUCAUUUUGUGUGUUUUUCAACAUAGUGAAUUUUUCUUAUUCUGCCCAUGGUUUUUCCCGAUAGGGGUUUUCCAAAUAAAAUCUGUAUUUUUAUUUUUUCAUUCUUAUUGCUUUGUGAUCAUUUUUACUUCCAUUAUUGGUGUUGAUUACAACAUUUAGUAAGCAUGAGGUUCGAAUUUUAGCAUCUGCAAUUUUUUUUUCACUCCUACACUUCUACUGUACCGAAAAUAAAAUAGCAAUCAAAUCAGCAUUUGAAAUUUAUCUUGUUAUUCGCAAUUUUGUUUCUCUUUCUAUGGUAUUGUUAUCUCAAUUGCAGGAAGAUUCAAUCCGUUCAUGGCAGAGAUCAAACUGGUGAGUAAUGACUGGAAUUUUGAGUUGGACCGAACUAUUGGCAAUUUUAAGAGCAAAGCUUUGGCAUAAAUUGUCCUUGAAUGUGGGCGGUUGGGCCGCGGUCUGAUGGCUCAUUUUACUGCAAGUGAUAUCAUCCUGCACCCAUCAUCUUUCAUGUUCUAGAGGUUAUGAGUUUAAAUCUUUCCAUACACAAAACUCUUCAAUAGUUAUGAUUUUACUCGUUCAGGCAUCGUGGGAUGAAGUUUGAAGAUAAAGCUUUGAAAGUGUGUCAUUCUUUUCUUUUAGUAUAUUUACAAUUAGUUCAUGCAUUUUUAAUAAGAGCAAAUUACUGUCAACUCACAUACCACAGAUAGAAAUAAGAUCACUUAUGAUUCAAACCCAUGAAAUGAGUUUUUGAAUGAAUAGUCAAUGCUGCUAAGACAAGAGCUAGACUCUAGUGGUCAUUCUUCGGUGCGACGUCCAAAGAAAAUAAUUCUUAAU
rnacentral:lncRNA from 1 species